rnacentral:rRNA from 1 species
AUACGAAGGGGGCUAGCGUUGUUCGGAUUUAUUGGGUUUAAAGGGUGCGUAGGCGGCCCGUUAAGUCAGCGGUGAAAUACCCAGGGCUCAACCUUGGAAUAGCCUUUGAUACUGACUGUCUUGAGUACGGGAGAGGUGUGUGGAACUCCGAGUGUAGAGGUGAAAUUCGUAGAUAUUGGGAAGAACACCGGUGGCGAAGGCGGCGAGCUGGUCCAUUACUGACGCUGAGGCACGAUAGCGUGGGGAGC